CUAGAUCCAGAUUCAUACAACAAGACUGGGGGUUCUGCUUCUGCUCAAACUCAGUCAAUGGAGCCUCUUGAGUCGAAAAACAAUUUAGACAGAUUGUCCAGUUCUCACUCUGAAAAGAUGGGAAAAAGUGGAAUUCAUCAUGCCAGGGACCUUACCCAGACAUCAGGAAAGAUUGUUGGUUCAGAAACCAAGGAAGUAAAGGGUGCUCUUCCUGAAGGCUUCUUUGACAACAAGGAUGCUGACCUUCGUGCACGUGGUAUUGUGCCUGUUAAGCCGGAUGUCAAGUAAGUUCUUGCUUCUGUUAUAUAAAUUUAUUUCUUUAAAAUGUCACUAUCAUCUGACAGGGAAUGUAAUAGAUUCUCUGGAAUAGUAUUCCCUUCCUUUGAUUCUUUUUUGUCCUCUAGUACUGUUUCUUUUCUAUCAAAUUAGAGAAACAAGGUCUGAGAGGGUCUCAAAAGUGUGUAAAGAAAAUUUAAGAUUAUAUCUUGUUUGAAGAAUUAUUUUUCAGCACUCACUGGUCCAUCAUUGUCAUUUUUGAAGCUUUGUCAUCUUUUCAUCAUCGUUGUUAUCAUCAUCGUGAUUAUCAUCUUCUAAUUUUUAACCUAAAAACAAAGCAAAUACAUAGGUCCUAGGUUGUGCUUAGAAGCUUUAUUUUGGGCAAUUUUAAUUGGUGGAUAAAUUUCAUGAGUCCUUUUUGGAUGCUUGUGGUAGGGUUUGAGUGGGAAAUCUUUAACCUUCUCUUUGAUAAAAUAUCAUUGGGAAAAAAAUUNNNNNNNNNNNNNNNNNNNNNNNNNNNNNNNNNNNNNNNNNNNNNNNNNNNNNNNNNNNNNNNNNNNNNNNNNNNNNNNNNNNNNNNNNNNNNNNNNNNNCCUUCUGUGGGAGAGACAAUCCUCACUGUGCUUGACAAGCUUGACAUUCAUAGGGGCCAAUACAGAUUCAAAAUCUUCUCCUUGCAAAAACAAGGACUUGCUAGAUUUCAGCCAAAAUGACUCAAGUUGGGCCCUGAAGCCCUUUGAAACACCCUUUCAGGUGGUUAAGAAAGCAAAAGGUGUUUGGUCUGUUAAGCUGACAAGUUUUCUAGAAAAACCAAGUAAUAGAACUUUCUAGGAUUUUUGAUUUGCUUCUUCAACACUGUCUUUGACUGUUGAUAAAUUCCUGCAGUCAUGACUGUAAUCGCAAGUUGUUAUUAGUCUGGCAAUUUGUUCUAUAUUCCCUAGUUGAAAUUCAAUUGCCCAUUUUUGGGAUUUGACUUGAUCCUGGUAACCUGUGGUUUUAGAGGAAUAAUUUAUAUUUCAUAAUGUAUCUCUAGGAAAUGAUGCGGUCAAGUUCCUAGAUCCAGAUUCAUACAACAAGACUGGGGGUUCUGCUUCUGCUCAGACUCAGUCAAUGGAGCCUCUUGAGUCGAAAAACAAUUUAGACAGAUUGUCCAGUUCUCACUCUGAAAAGAUGGGAAAAAGUGGAAUUCAUCAUGCCAGGGACCUUACCCAGACAUCAGGAAAGAUUGUUGGUUCAGAAACCAAGGAAGUAAAGGGUGCUCUUCCUGAAGGCUUCUUUGACAACAAGGAUGCUGACCUUCGUGCACGUGGUAUUGUGCCUGUUAAGCCGGAUGUCAAGUAAGUUCUUGCUUCUGUUAUAUAAAUUUAUUUCUUUAAAAUGUCACUAUCAUCUGACAGGGAGUGUAAUAGAUUCUCUGGAAUAGUAUUCCCUUUCUUUGAUUCUUUUAUGUCCUCUAGUACUGUUUCUUUUCUAUCAAAUUAGAGAAACAAGGUUGAGAGGGUCUCAAAAGCGUGUAAAGAAAAUUUGAGAUUAUAUCUUGUUUGAAGAAUUAUUUUUCAGCACUCACUGGUCCAUCAUUGUCAUUUUUGAAGCUUUGUCAUCUUUUCAUCAUCGUGAUUAUCAUCUUCUAAUUUUUAACCUAAAAACAAAGCAAAUACAUAGGUCCUAGGUUGUGCUUAGAAGCUUUAUUUUGGGCAAUUUUAAUUGGUGGAUAAAUUUCAUGAGUCCUUUUUGGAUGCUUGUGGUAGGGUUUGAGUGGGAAAUCUUUAACCUUCUCUUUGAUAAAAAUAUCAUUGGGAAAAAAAUUAGGACUCUGCCUAGUACUCACAGGUGUAUGUGAAUUCUGUACAUCACAACUGUAGUGUAGUGAAAUAAACCUUGGUAUAAUUUAGCAGGGGAGGGUGUUAGAGAGGACUGGCUGUGUUAAAAACCUUAGUGAGCCUCAGUGGAGGUUUCUCUGAUUCGUGGGGAAGUUUAUUUUUGAUAGCGUAGGGACCUUUUAACCCUGCAGCAUAAUGGCAUGUGUUUCAUUGGAUACUUGAGAUGAUCAGAAAUUACCAUGUAUGAUUGCAUUACUUGGAACACUGAAUUAACCUUGUUAAGAAAUGUUAAAUCCUGGUCAGGGACGAGUACAAAGAAUUUGAAAAGUUGAUACAGGAGGAUUUGAAGGAGGUGGACAACCGUUUGGAAGAAGAAGAGGUCAGGAUCAUUUAUUCCUUGCACCAUUCCUAGAACCCAAUAAUGUAGUCUCUGGUGAUGUUUACUAAAGAUUGGAGUUACAUCAUUAACUUGGUUUUGCAAUUUUAUGAUGUAGUUUGAUGCAGCUGAGAUGAUUGAAGAGGCCGAGUCUGUGGAGCAAAAGUAAGUCAAGUGUGGUCACGAGUAGUGUAUCACUUGGGUUCUCCUAUAUUUCCAAUGUUUUUGAGUUGACCUUUUGUUCAGGGUGUAUUGGGAGAAAGUGGAAAUGCUGAAGAAGAAGAAAUUGGAGCUGAAGGCGGCUAGAUCCGGCAGACGGAGUAAAGAGCCUGAGGUCAGAGGCAAGGGGCAUAGCUCUGAAGAGGAUUCAUCCAGUGAUGAUGAUAGUGAUGGGAAUUUCAUGGUUGAUUGGAGAGCACAACACCUGUGAAUACUUCUGUUUGAAAUUUUCUGGUAGCAUCGCCUGUGCAGACAUGUCUAUGUUGGCAUGCAAACACCUGAUUACGUUUGCUGGAGUUUGGUGCUGCUUCUUUCAUUCUGAGCCAUUCUCCAGAUUUUGGCUCAACUGGCUGCUGAUUGAAAGGGAUGGGGAGUGGGGCGAGGAGAGAGUAAGCCCUGGUCCAAGAUCCUAGAAUUUUACAUUGUUUCUGUAUGCGCAUGUAUAUAAAGGGGCAGGUAGAAGAUGUGGGUUUUGGUUGAAACUUGAAUGGUGUAUCCCGAAUUCCGAUACUAAGAUUUAGGGUUUAAUGAAGACAAAUGGGUUAGGAAAGGAAUCAGUUUUAUGCUCUUAUUGUUUAUUUGGAAUUUUUGAGUUCUUUCCCGGUGUUGCUGGUUAUUAUCUGAAACGCCUGCGCUACUUAACAUUUAUCUUUUCACUACGUUCAAUUAUAUGGUGUAAUCGCACAACUGAAAUGCAGAAUAUUCUGGUGGUAUUAUCUUAUGAUUUCAGAAUCAUAAUUAAUUAAUAAUAAUAAUAUUAUUAUUAUUAUUAUUAUUAUUGUUUUUGUUAGGGGGUGGCCAUUUGGUGGUAAUAGAGGGCAAGUUACAGUCAGUUUCGUUGUGGGUUUAAAAAGUAGUUUUUCCCUUUUAAAAAUAAAAAUUAUUUGUUUCUAAUUUUUAAAAAUAAAGAGUAAGAGUCUGUUUGGCUGCGUGAUACAAAAAUAAUUUUUUUUUAAUUUUAAUAAAUAAAAAAUUAUUUUAAAAAUCUUUUAACAUUAUUUUUGUUAAAAACAAAGUAAAAUAGAGAAUAAUUAUUUGAAAAUAAGUAAAAUUUGUUUUCAUCGAUUUUUAAAAAUAAAAAAAAAUUAUAGAAUUUUUUUUAAAAGUAUUAAAAAAACAAAUAAAUUUAAACAUGUUAUUAUUCCAUUUCUCUCAAUAGAUUUUUUUAAAAAAAAAUAUUAAACAAAAAUAAAAUUAAACAUGUUAUUAUUCCAUUUCUCUCUCCACAAUCUAAUCUUCCUUUAAAUAAUACGUAUUUUUCUGAAUUUUUCAUUAAGAAAAUAAAUUUCAAAUCAAAGUGUACUUGAAAUAUAAAAUUUAUUAAUUUUUAAAAAUAAUUUGAAACUCAAAAACUGAUUUAAUUAAUACUAAAAGUUAUGAAACUUAAUAAGUCAAAGAUCAAAAUUUAUUUUAAUUAUUUAGGUUAGUUUAUAUAUAUAUAUAUCAUUUUUUAAAAUUUUAUUAUUAGUUAAAUAAGUUUUAAAUUAAGCAAGAUUUAAUGCAUUAGAUUCAAUAAGAGCUUAGUAAUUUUUUAAAAUAAUUUAAAAUUCAAAUAGUAAACCAAUUAAUUCAAAAAACUUAGGGAUAAAAAUUGGUUUAGAACAACUUUAUUAUUUCUCUUUCACAUAGAAUCCUUAUUUCUUAAUUUUUUUUCUUAAGCAAAUGAACUCCAAAUUAAAUAAGACUUAAUGCUUCGAUUCAUUAAUGAGUUUAGUAAUUUUAAAAAUUAAUUUAAAACUCAAAUAAUGAACUAAUUAAUACUAGAAAUUUAUGAACAAAAAUUGGUUUAGAACCACUUUAUUGUUUGUCUUUUACAUAGAAUCCUUAUUCCCCAACUUUUUUCACUACAAAUGAAUUCCAAAUUAAAUAAAACUUAAUGCAUUGGAUUCAUUAACGAGUUUAGUAAUUUUUAAAAUUAAUCUAAAACUUAAAUAAUAAUAUAAUCAAUACUAGAAAUUUAUGAAAAAAAUGGUUUAAAAUAACUCAGUGUUUUUAUUUUACAUAGAAUUAUUAUUUUCUAUUUUUUUAACUAAGCAAAUAAGCUUCAAAUUAAAUGAGACUUAAUGUGUUGAAUUCAUCAAUAAGUUUAUUAAUUUUUGAAAAUAAUUUGAAAGUCAAAUAAUAAACUCAUUAAUACUAGAAAUUUAUGGAUAAAAAUUGUUUCAUAAUGAUUGUUAUUUUUAUAAACUCAUCAUUAAUACAUAUUGCAUUAAUGAUUAAAUUAUUAAUUUCUUUAAGUGUAUGUAUGAGCAACAUCUUACAGUGAUAGCAUAAUUUUUAACUUUAAACAAUCAAUAAUUUAAUAGGUAGUAAUAUAUAUCUUUAAUAAUAGAUACAAUGAUCAGAUAAAUCUGUCAUUGUGGUAUUUCCACCAAGUUUGAAUUUAAUAUUCAUCCUUGUGCAUGUGGACAUAUAAAAUGAUCAUGGGAAGGGGUGGGUUUGUAAUUCAAGGAAUAAAAAUGUAACACAAAAAGUAGAUGACUACAUAGUAUUUAAAUUACAGAUAAUAAUUCAUGAGAAACAAUAUAUAAUGAUAUAGUAGGCUUGGGUAAAGCAUUGAUGAGUAGUCAAUUUAAUUUUCAUAGAGUAGUGAAAUGUAAUAAAUCUUCAUUAGUGUAAUGAAGAUUAAUUGUAAUGUUUUUGGAAAAUCUUAUGGGACUUGGUUUAUUAUAUGGGUGCCAAUUGUUGCAUUUGAGUUAUUGAUCAUUUUUCUACAUUAUGAUUUAAAUUAUGAAAUAGAAAAAUAAUGGCGUACAAUAUGAAGUUAGGCUAUAACUCAUUCAUUCAUGAAAAAAUUGUAAUUUUGCCAAACCUAGUUUACAUAAACAAAUUUAUGUCAUAGGUUAGAGACACAAUCUCUAGGUGGAAGCCUAGGAGCUACGAUCCCUCUCUCUCUCUCUUGUUUGAUUGUCAUUUGGUAGUUUGAAAAUUUUAAAUUAGAAUUUUCUUCUAAUAGUUUUUAAUCACAAGUUUUUAGGGGGCUAUUAUUAAUUUUACUUACAAUGGGAAAAUAUAUUUGUUCUUUUUUUUUUAGUAGCAGUUAAAAAUGUCAACUUACCUUAACAAGAACCCUUUUUUUUUUUAAUAAGUCAAUAAAAUAAAUUAGUAGCAUACCUAAACUAACAUGAAGAUAUAAUAACAUAAAGUAAUUUAUCUUUGAAUAAAUUAAAAGCAAAGUCUUUUCUUUUAUUGUAAUAGUGAUGAAAUUCACUUCCAAAGCUUAUAGCAAAUCAUAAAGCAUAUGAAGAUCUACAAACAAAAUUUAUUGCCUUCGAGUAUGAUUUUUGGCAUAAGUCACUCUUCUUUUGAACAGUAGCCACUUGACAAUUUUGUCCACAAAAUCAAAAUAGGCAUCACACCAAGAUCUUCUUAUUGCCAAGACAAAAUAAGGAACUAAAAUGCCUAGCGCAAAUCCCAAGCCAAUGCUUAAGUAAAACCACUGAUCAAUAUAGCCACCAUCAAUUUUGUCCUCAAGAACACUUUGCCUUUUAUCUAGGUCUUCAUCCUGACAUUUUGUGACUAGUGGAGUUCCACAAAGAUUCGGGUUUCCAGUAAAGGCCAACUCUGUGAAAGUUGUCAUUUGCCCUGCAAAGGGGAUCUUACCAGAGAAAUUAUUAUUUGAUAGAUUCAAAUAACCCAAGAAUGUUAACGAGGACAUGCUUGAAGGAAUGGUGCCAGAAAGCUUGUUGCUUGAUAGAUCAAGAGAGGACAACUGACGCAACAUUGAAAUGCUUCCAGGAAUUUGGCCAAUGAUGUGAUUCAUGGACAAGUUUAGAAACACCAAACCAGACAAUUUUGUUAUUCCUUUGGGAAACUCUCCACUUAAAUUAUUGUCGGAUAGAUCGAUGCUAACAACAAGAGAAAGAGUCCUCGUGUAUUCAAGACUUUGGCCUUUUGUAAUCACAAUCAACCUUUCAUCAUAUCGAGAACCAUUCCCACUGUGAUACAAAGAAUACAUAUCCAUGUUACGCUCCUGAGCCAUGGCUUUAAGCUCCACCAAAGUGACUGGAAUUUUACCAGUCAAAUUGUUUUGUGCAAGGUCUAAGACAUGUAGGGAGCUUAAAUUUGAAAGUCGGUCGGGAAGUCUUCCAAAAAAUGCAUUCGACCUCAAGUUGAGUAUUACAAGAUUUAUGAAAGCAGUUCCAAUCCAUGAUGGAACCUUACCCGAUAAUUCGUUAUAACUGAGAUCAAGGAGUUCCAAACUUGAUAAAUUUUGGAAAGAUGAGGGAAGCUCUCCUGAAAGCUUGUUGUCGUUCAGGUGUAGUGAUUGGAGCAAUUGCAACUGACCUAAUGACUUUGGUAUCAUCCCGGACAAAUUGUUAUUUCCAAGGUCCAAAACAAUUAGGCGAGAGCAAUUAUUUAUGGUAGAAGGAAUGCUUCCGGUCAAAUUAUUCCUUGAAAAAUCAAUGACUUCAAGAGAGGUGAUGUGUCCUAUGGAAUCUGCGAUGGUCCCUGUUAUUUGAUUAUGAGAAAGACGAAGGUAACUCAAGUUUAACAGGGAUUCACCUUUGCUAAGUGGGAUAGGGCCAGAAAAUUUAUUAUGGGAGAGAUCUAGAAAUCCCACCCCUUUGAUUGAAAAAGGAAUAGGUCCUUCAAAGAGGUUGGAACUGAAAUCGAUCUGUGCGAGAAAAGGAUAAGAAAAAUUCAAUGAAUUUGGUAACUGACCUUGUAACUGAUUCUGAGAAAGACUUAAGUACCACAGAUUGAAAGAAAUAUUCCAAAACCAAUUUGGAAUACGACUUGAAACGCUAGCAUUUGAGAAAUUAAGAUAUUGGAGGUUCUUCUGAGAUUGAAGCCAAAUCGGAAAUGAAGGACCCAAGUGGCUUGAACCCAUAUCAAGAUAUUUCACCUGGAAAGGGGGAACCCAAUUGGGACUAACAUUCAAACGGAAAGAAUUGGAGUCCAUCUUUAGAUACUCCAACUUACUUAGCUUCCAAAAGUGUUGUUCAGAGAGACUUCCACUCAAAUGAUUGGAAGAAACAUCCAACCAUUGCAAUUCUGAAAGCUGUCCAAUACUAUCUGGGAGACUUCCACUCAAAUGAUUGAGAGAAACCUUCAAUUGUUGCAAUUGAGAAAGUUGUCCAAUACUAUCUGGGAGACUUCCAUUCAGCUCAUUCAUUCCAAUGGACAAGAACUCCAGGUGUUGCAAUGUCCAUAAAGAAGCAGGGAUGGGACCUUCAAAUCUAUUGCUGGAUAAACCGAGUCCCCUAAGAUUUUUAAGCUCACCCAACCAAUUUGGCAAUUUUCCCAUCAAUUGAUUGCCAUACAAGUAUAACUCCGUCAAAUUAGGCAAAGGACUUUUAGAACUGCAGGUUUCAAUUCCCUUGAUAAUCUCAGGUAAACUUCCAUUCAAGUAAUUAAAACUCAAAUCCAGAUAUUUUAAGUUGCAGAAGUUUCCAAAAGAGCUUGGAAUUGGACCUGUAAUGAGCAAGAUUAAAAAAUAUGUAUUAAUUAAAAUUAUGUAAUAAACAAAUAAUAAUAAUAGUAAAUAACAAAAUAAAUUAAUUCAUGAACAAUUAAUUUAAAGAAAAAAUAAGAAAAAUUAUUAUUAUUCAUGAAUUGGUACUUUUUUUUAUCUUUUCUGAUAACCAUAAAAUAAAAUAAUUUAUUUCAAUGUUGUAAGAAAAGUAGAAUUAAUCAUUGAUAUUAAUUGUUCCUUUAAAAAUGAACUAAAUUUUUUUGAACAAAGUGAUAGUUCAAUGAGAGAAGAUAGAAAAUCAAAAUAUAAACCAAAGGAUUAAGAAAUCAAGUUAUCAAAAGAUAAAUUUUUAUUUUAGUGAUGAAAAUAAAGCAAGAGAAAACUAGGAAUUCAACAUAGUUUAAUAUCUUGAAACAACAACACUAUAAGAAACUAGCAAAAUUAAAUAAAAAGUGAGAAACUUACAAUAAACUAAAAUUAGUAAAAUGACGAAGCAACAUGGUUUAUAGUCUAACUAAAAUAUACAAAGGAUAUGCAAUGAAAUGAAUUAUCUAAAUUAAUUGAGGAUUGAGGAUGUCCUUCAAUCAAAUUGUCACUCAAAUCUAAAUAUUUUAGAGACUUCAAUUUUAUCAAUAAAGGUCUGAUCUAAUUAAUUAAGUUUACAAGACACAAAACUCAUAUGGCAACAAUUACUUCCCCUUUAGGAUAGAGGUUAAUAUUAACUUCUUGAUUUGGAUUUUAGUCAAUUCUCUUAAUGAUGAAAAAAAAAACGCUAAGGUUGUGUUUAGAACUUCUAAUGUUUUAUUUCUAAAGAUAGAAAUUCAUAGAAACCCUAAUAUAAAUAGUAAAACUUUACCAUAAAAAGUAAUGAUAUUUAAAAAUUGUUUUAAAAACCAUGAAUAUUAGAAAAAAAUUUACUAUCUUAAAUUUUUUAAAUUUCAAUAACAGUAAUUAAGAACAUGAAAUGUCAUAUUAUAUUCACUUAAUGUUCAAUUUUAUGGUUUCAAUUACUUGUCUCAACCAUGAAAUGUCAUAUCUCAAUAUAUAAAUUACAAUAAUUUGGCAUAAUAGAUGAAUUAUGGAGAGAAAAUAGAAAUUGAAAAUGUGCAAGAGAUGACUGAAAGUUAUUUGAUGAUAAAGAUUCUUAACAAACGUAAAUUGUCAAAAUAGGAAUAUAAAUUUUUUUACUGUUUAAAAAAGCAGUAAUUUGGCAAUGUCCAUAAAGAAGCAGGGAUGUGACCUUCAAAUCUGUUGCCGGAUAAAUCGAGUCCCCUAAGAUUUUUAAGCUCACCCAACCAAUUUGGCAAUUUUCCCAUCAAUUGAUUGCCAUACAAGUAUAACUUCGUCAAAUUAGGCAAAGGACUUUUAGAACUGCAGGUUUCAAUUCCCUUGAUAAUCUCAGGUAAACUUCCAUUCAAGUAAUUACCCCCCAAAUUCAGAUAUUUUAAGUUGCAAAAGUUUCCAAAGGAGCUUGGAAUUGGACCUGUAAUGAGCAAGAUUAAAAAAAUAUGUAUUAAUUAAAAUUAUGUAAUAAACAAAUAAUAAAAAUAGUAAAUAACAAAAUAAAUUAAUUCAUGAACAAUUAAUUUAAAGAAAAAGUAAGAAAAAUUAUUAUUCAUGAACAAAAUAAAUUAUUAUUUAAAAGAUAAAUUUUAAUUUUAGCAAUGAAAAAAAUAUGUUUUUCUAAACAAUUAUUUUAAUUCCAAGUGGUUAUUCUAUUUAUUUACAAACUCCUAGAAAAUGUGAAUAAAAAAUUAUAGUUAUCUAAGUUAUAUACCAGUAGAAACUACCAUUAAAGAAUAAAGCUAGAGAAAACAAGGAAUUCAACCUAGUUUAAUAUUUUGAAACAAUAACACUACAAGAAACUAGCAAAAUUAAAUAAAAAGUGAGAAACUUAUAAUAAACUAAAAUUAGUAAAAUGACGAAGCAACAUGGUUUAUAGUCUAACUAAAAUAUACAAAGGAUAUGCAAUGAAAUGAAAUAUCUAAAUUAAUUGAGGAGUGAGGAUGUCCUUAAAUCAAAUUGUCACUCAAAUCUAAAUAUUUUAGAGACUUCAGUUUUAUCAAUAAAGGUCUAAUCUAAUUAAUUAAGUUUAAAAGAGACAAUAUAUCAAAGUAAAAACUCAUAUGACAACAAUUGCUUCCCCUUUAGAAUAGAGGUCAAUAUUCACUUCUUGAUUUGGAUUUUAGUCAAUUCUCUAAGGUUGUGUUUGGAACUUCUAAUGUUUUAUUUCUAAAGAUAGAAAUUCAUAGAAACUCUAAUAUAAAUAGUAAAACUUUACCAUAAAAAAGUAAUCAUACUUAAAAAUUGUUUUAAAAAACAUGAAUAUUAGAAAAAUUUUACUAUCUUAAUUUUUUUAAAUUUCAAUAACAGUAUUUAAGAACAUGAAAUGUCAUAUUAUAUUCACUUAAUGUUCAAUUUUAUGGUUUCAAUUACUUGUCUCAACCAUGAAAUGUCAUAUCUCAAUAUAUAAAUUACAAUAAUUUGGCAUAAUAGAUGAAUUAUGGAGAGAAAAUAGAAAUUGAAAAUGUGCAAGAGAUGAUUGAAAGUUAUUUGAUGAUAAAGAUUCUUAACAAACGUAAAUUGUCCAAAUAAGAAUAUAAAUUUUUUUACUGUGUAAAAAAGCAGUAAUUUGGCAAUGUCCAUAAAGAAGCAGGGAUGUGACCUUCAAGUUUGUUGCCGGAUAAAUCGAGGCGCCUAAGAUUUUUAAGCUCACCCAACCAAUUUGGCAAUUUUCCCAUCAAUUGAUUCUCAUACAAGUAUAACUCCGUCAAAUUAGGCAAAGGACUUUUAGAACUGCAGGUUUCAAUUCCCUUGAUAAUCUCAGGUAAACUUCCAUUCAAGUAAUUAAAACUCAAAUCCAGAUAUUUUAAGUUGCAGAAGUUUCCAAAAGAGCUUGGAAUUGGACCUGUAAUGAGCAAGAUUAAAAAAAUAUGUAUUAAUUAAAAUUAUGUAAUAAACAAAUAAUAAAAAUAGUAAAUAACAAAAUAAAUUAAUUCAUGAACAAUUAAUUUAAAGAAAAAGUAAGAAAAAUUAUUAUUCAUGAACAAAAUAAAUUAUUAUUUAAAAGAUAAAUUUUAAUUUUAGCAAUGAAAAAAAUAUGUUUUUCUAAACAAUUAUUUUAAUUCCAAGUGGUUAUUCUAUUUAUUUACAAACUCCUAGAAAAUGUGAAUAAAAAAUUAUAGUUAUCUAAGUUAUAUACCAGUAGAAACUACCAUUAAAGAAUAAAGCUAGAGAAAACAAGGAAUUCAACCUAGUUUAAUAUUUUGAAACAAUAACACUACAAGAAACUAGCAAAAUUAAAUAAAAAGUGAGAAACUUAUAAUAAACUAAAAUUAGUAAAAUGACGAAGCAACAUGGUUUAUAGUCUAACUAAAAUAUACAAAGGAUAUGCAAUGAAAUGAAAUAUCUAAAUUAAUUGAGGAGUGAGGAUGUCCUUAAAUCAAAUUGUCACUCAAAUCUAAAUAUUUUAGAGACUUCAAUUUUAUCAAUAAAGGUCUAAUCUAAUUAAUUAAGUUUAAAAGAGACAAUAUAUCAAAGUAAAAACUCAUAUGGCAACAAUUGUUUCCCCUUGAGAAUAGAGGUCAAUAUUAACUUCUUGAUUUGGAUUUUAGUCAAUUCUCUAAGGUUGUGUUUGGAACUUCUAAUGUUUUAUUUCUAAAGAUAGAAAUUCAUAGAAACUCUAAUAUAAAUAGUAAAACUUUACCAUAAAAAAGUAAUCAUACUUAGAAAUUGUUUUAAAAACCAUGAAUAUUAGAAAAAUUUUACUAUCUUAAUUUUUUUAAAUUUCAAUAACAGUAUUUAAGAACAUGAAAUGUCAUAUUAUAUUCACUUAAUGUUCAAUUUUAUGGUUUCAAUUACUUGUCUCAACCAUGAAAUGUCAUAUCUCAAUAUAUAAAUUACAAUAAUUUGGCAUAAUAGAUGAAUUAUGGAGAGAAAAUAGAAAUUGAAAAUGUGCAAGAGAUGAUUGAAAGUUAUUUGAUGAUAAAGAUUCUUAACAAACUUAAAUUGUCAAAAUAGGAAUAUAAAUUCUUUUUGGAGAUACAAAGAAAGUAAAUUUUUUAGAUUUCAAUCUAAUGUGGUUUUUUAUUUAUUAAUUACAAGAUUUUCAAAAAUAAAUGAAUAGUAAAUUAUAAUUAUUUAAAUUUUAUAGGAACAAGAAAUACCUUAAGAUAAACAUGACAAUCUAGAAUAAAACUUUGAUAGAAUAGUUUAAAACAAAGUAUACCAUGAGAAUAAAAAUUGAAAACUAUUUAAUAACUAAAACUAGUAAAAUAUUUUUUUAAAAAAAAGUGACACUAACAAAGUACGUAAUAUUAUAUCAAUUCAAUUGUAAUAUAAAUAUUCAACUUAGUGCAUACUCAAAUUAUUAUUCCCAAGAACAAAAUAAAUUGAAAAAAAUAAGAGCAUGUCAAAAUCUUACUAUAGAAAUGAAAGCAUUCAAAAAAAUAAUUAAUAUAAUAAUGUAUGAAAAUGAUACUACUAUUAUUAUUUAAAAUAAUAAAUAAUAAAUCAUCGAUAAACUAAUUUAAAAUAAAAAAAAGAGGUUGAGGAUUAAAAAAAUCAUAUUCCUAUGAGUACAAUUCUUUUAUUAGUUACAUAGACAUGCACCUUUUAUAAUCACUUACCCUUACACAAAAAAUUUGUUAAAUAAUAUAGAUACUUCAUAAGCAUAAAGUGUCAAACUAUAUACUUUUUCUUAGAUAAAAAAAAAACGAAAAAAAAAAAACUAAAUUUCCUUCUAAGAAAUUUAAAAUUCAAAAUAAUGUUUUAUUAGUAGGUAUAAAUUUAUUUCCACUACGAGAACAAAAUAUAGUGAUUAUUUGAUAUUGUAUGCUAAUACAUAUUCAAUAAGAACUUAUAUACACAAUCAUCAACUAUAUAUAUUUAAUUACACAUUUACAUACAAACAAAUAAAUAUCAAAUUUUCUAUUAAGAGAAGAACUUACCAUGUAAAUCAUUUCUAGCCAAACUGAGAAAUUCUAUCUUUUUCCAACUCUUCCUCAAUAGUUGAGAGAUAUUGCCCCCAGAGAGGCUACAACCAUCUAGAUGCAGCUCUGUUAAAUUUGGAAGUUUGUCUAGCACCUCGACCCAUUCACUUCCUAUUGAUGAAAGGUUAACAAAAUCCAUACCAAGAUACUUCAAGGAAACAAGACUAGUCACCCAUUCAAUAUUUCCAAUAGAUAAAUCACUAAAAUAUUCAAAAUCAUUAUAACUAAAACCUUCAGAAGAAAGAUCUAGAUACUGCAAAUUAGAAAGACUUCUAAAAUUUGAAGGAAUUGUACCACUAAACUCAGCACCUGAUAAGUUUAGAUAUAGUAAAUUCUUCAAAGACCCGAAGAAUUGAGGAAUUGGCAUGCCUUUGAAUGAGUUGAAACUCAAAUCUAGAUAUUUCAAAGACUUGAGUUUUGUCAAUGAAGGUCUAAUUUCUCCACUCAAGUUCAUAGAGCUCCAGUUCUCAUAUACAUUCUCACGAGGAUAAGGGUUAUGAAGAUCAAUGGAAAUGACAAUUCCUGUGUCUUUUUCACAAGUAAUUCCUUGCCAAUAGCAAUAAUUGCUUCCUUUCCAUGAUGAAAGUCGGUUGUUGGGAUCUUUGAGACCACUUUUGAAGUCAAUAAGAGCCUCUUGUUCAGAUUGAAUGUUGUUGAUGAUAUGGGUAUAGCCAUUACAUGCAAGUUCCGUUGUUAUGAAAUAGAGAAUGGCUAAAAUGAAACCAAGAAUUGAAAUUCUCUCCAUGUAAAUAUUCUAAGUUGAGCACCUGUAAAAAUUGAAUUCCAAUAUGUAGUUAGCAUUUUCUUGAAUUAAAUUAAAAUUUUAUUUUUGACAUCAAAAUGAAAAACUGAUAAAAUUUAAAAGACAGUUGCAUCAACAUGACGAACUUAUUUUAACCAACACAUUUAAGAAAUGUCACCAGUCUAAUAUAAUUUUAAAAGAUCUACUCAUAGCAUAUGUAAAUAUAUACUAAGAAAAACAGUAGUAAUCAUCUCAUAGAUAUUCAACCUUACUUUGAUUGGCAAGAACUGAAAUCACCUACAAGUGGAAGGAUUAGAUAGAAAAAAACACAUUAAAAGUAGUUUAUCAAUAUUAGUCGAGUUCAACCUUACCUGAAACUUCUUUCUUGUUUUCCUUGUUUUUUCAAUUCAACUAAAAUAUAUAGAAGAUUGUUUAAAGUGAUGACAAUGAUAGCCUCACUUUCUUAUUUUCCUUGUUUUUUCAAUCAUAUUAAAUUCUAAUUGAGUGGAAAAUGACUUAGAGUUCUUACCUCCACCACAAAAACCAAGUGUCUUGAUUGAAGACCUUCACUUGAAGAUAAAAAAGAUGUGGAUUGAAAGACCACGAGUUGGCACUAAGUCAAGGUCAAUAAGAUUAAAAUAAACAUUAAAAUUCAUCUAUGAGUAAAAAAAACUACACUUGUUUAAAUUUUGAAAGAUCUUAAUUGGGAAAAAUAAAAUAUGUAUAUCAAGGUGCUAAGAAUAAGUCAAGAGCUUAGAUCAUUCAACAUACAAAAAUAGUAUUGAAUCGAUGGGCUUAUUUGGUGGUAUAAUUUAGAAAUUCAUACACUAUUUGGCAUGUUUUAUCCCAAAAACAAAUUUUUAAAAUAAAGUUAAAUAGAGAACAACUUUAGGAAAAUAAAUAAAAUUUCUUCUCACUUGUUUUUUAAAACAAAAAGAAAACAUAAAAAAAAUAAUAAAUACAAUCUCUUUCUUCUUUCAUUUUUUCUUUACCAACCAAUGAUAAAAAAUCAUCAAAUAUGAUCUUUCUCUUAAUUAUACGUAUUUUUUUUAUUUUCUUUAACUUCUCUAAUUUUUUUUAUUAGGCAUAUAGACUUUGAAUCAAAUAAUACUUAAAAUAAAGGAUUUAUUCAUUUUAAAAAUAAUUUGAAACUCAAAAUCAAUUUAAUUAAUACUAAAUUGUCAUCAAACUUAAAAGUUAAUUUAAUUAAUACAAAAAAAGUCAUGAACCAAAAUUUAUCAUGGAUGACUUUUUUAGUUUCUUAUUACAACACAUAACUAUAUUUUUCUGAAUUUUUUACUAGAAAAAUAAAUUAAAUCUAGCAAAACUUAAUGUUUCGAUCCUUUAAUGAAUCUGAUAAUUUUUAGAAAUACUUUCAAAUUCACAUAUGGACUCAAUUAAUAGCAUAAAUUUAUGGAUAAAAAUGGUUUAAAAUGACUCUUGUUGUCUAUUUUCUGGGUAGAACUAUAAUUUUUUAUUUUUUAUUACUAGACGAAUAGACCUCAAAUCAAGAAAAAAAAAACUUAAUGUUUUGGGUGCUUUAAAAAUUCUAUUACUUUUAAAGAAUUAAUUUGAGACUUAAAUUACAUUCAAGUAAAACAUCCUUUAAAAUGAAAAAAUAAAAUAAAAUAGUUUGUAUCUUUUUCAUGACCCAUUAAUCUUGUAAGAAUCAUAGAUCACGUUGUUUGAUCAUGAUCGAUGAUUAACGAACUUUAUUCUCUAUGUAGUGUUGACUACGUUAUCAAGUCAAAAAGUUAUACCGUGUUCAAGUAAGACAUCUUCCAAAAUUUUAAAAAAUAUAAUAAGAUAAAAUAAAAUAAAGGCCUUGACUCAAUUCUUUUUAUCAUGAAGGUCAUUCUUCACCUAAAAAAUAAGGUUAACAACUUCGCAUCUAAUUAUAAUAUAGGAUAAAAAGAAGUGUUUAAUAGUGAUCAAAACACUGAUUUUAUAUCAUUAUACAAAAUUAAAGGAAAUAAUCAACUAGUCAAGAAAUGAAUUGAUUAAUUGUUACCUUUACCAAAAUGCCUUAUUAUAUAUUAUAGCUUUUCUUUAAAUAAAAUUAAAAGAAAAUUGUCUAAUAGCACCAUAACAAAGGGAAAAUUGAUCUUAGUCCACAUUACUACUUUUGUUUAAACAAAAUUAAAAUAAAUUUUGUGAAAUAUAUCAAUAAAAAAGGAAAAAUUGCAUGAAAAGAUAGAAUUUUUUUUUUAAAGCAAAAUGUUACUAAAUAAAGGGAAAAUACUUGUAUAAACUAGUUUAUCUAAAAUUAGACCUUGACUUAGUAUUUCAUAAAUAUAGGAGAACAAAUAUAUAUGUCAACCAUACCAUUAAUUUUAUCUUAAUGUAUAAAAAUAAAGAUAACUAUUGGAUAGCCAAAAAUAAUAAUAAAAUUAAAUAUUUAUUAUCCAUAAUUGUAAAUUAUGAAAACAUUGAAAAGUUAUUUUAAAUCCUAGUAUGUCAAAAUAACAUCACUAAUAUAAUUGCUUUCAAUUCAUUUUUACACACACAUAGUAGAUUAAACAUUAUAUCUAUCUUGCAAUUUAAGUAAUCACUUUUGACUUCAAAGGAAAAUGAUAUUAGAAAAUAAUAUUAUCCAACCCAAAAACUUAAUUUCUUUAAGUUCCAACUAAUGAGAAACAUACACAUGCAAUAACCUUAUUACAAUAGAUUAGUUUCUUCCAAUUUAUUUUUUUUAAUUUUUUAUUAUUCAAAUAUCUAAUAACCUAAUUUGCCUAAAAUUAAUCAUGACAAUGAUUAACCAUCUAAAAUCAAAUCAUAAUGUCCAUUUUUUUCUUGAUCAUAAUCCACAAUAAAGAAUAUUUAUUUUGAAUGAAGUGUAGACCACAUUAUAAAGUUUGUCAAUUCAAAUAGUCAUAUGGAUAAUAAAUAACUAUUUUAAAAUCAUAUUAGAAUAGUUUGUAUUGUUAUAUGACCUAUCAAUUUUGUAUGAAGUGUAGACUACGUUGUUUAACUAUGACCGAUGAUAAUGUAAUUUUAUUCUCUAUGUAGUAUUGAUCACGUUAUCAAGUCAAAAAGUUAAAUCGUGUUCAAGUAAAACAUCCUUUAAAAUUAAAAAAAAAAUCAAAAAUCAAAAGACCUUGACUCAUUCAAAAUUAUGGGUUUUGAAAGUUGGAAGUAAAAAUGGAGAAGGAAAAACCAAGAAAAAAAGGCCCAUAUAUUAGGCCCUUGUAGAAAGGAAAAAAAGGUUUUCGAAAAAGGAAAAUUAAAUAAAAUAAAAAUUCCAACGAGCCAAAAGUUGCCCAGAAAAUGGGCCGAAAUAGGGGCCAAAUAAUAAUAAUAAUAACCAUACAUCCGUAUUGAAGGUGAUAUCUUUUGAAACAUUCAAGUCCACGUAAGAUAGUAAUAGAUAAGAUGAUAAUAGCCUUACAACCAUAUUGAAGGGUGAUAUCUUUUGAAAUAUUCAAGAUCUUACAACGUUGAAGUCAAUGAAAAAUGUUGUCCACACAAGAUGAUAAUAACUUUACAAUCAUAUUAAAGGAUGAUAUCUUUCAAAACAUUCAAGACCUUACAACCACAUUGAAAUAUUUUAGACUUUUCAACAUUCAAGUCUAUGACAAAUAUUGUUCACACAAAAUGGUAAUGGAUAAGUUUAAUAUUCUCAAAUUAUUAUAAAUCAAGCAAGUCUAGCUUGGCUAAUAAUAUUAUAAACUUAAAAAUUAAUUAUCUAGAAUUAUAAAUUAGUUAAAGUUAUUUUGAAUCCAAAUAUGCCAAUUAAGUAGCACCAUUAUUAUAAUUGCAUCUAAUGGUAGCAUGUUAUCCUCUAGUUCAUUAUUUUCAUUAAUUGACACAGAAUCAGUAGAAAUAGAAUCAGAUUUUACUUGAAACCCUAAAACAGGGCUGACCUUAAAUUCCAGGUUGUUUGGAUCAAUAGACUUGAGCAUGAAGUCAUUAUGUCUAGACUUUGAAUCCUCCUCCGGCUAGGGCUUUGAAGCCCCACUCUCUUUCUAGGUUUCAUUGUUCUGCUCCUCUUGCCCACUUUGUGCUAUUUCAGAUACCACACUCUCACUAACCAUAGUGCUAGUUUCGACAAAAAUUACAUUUCCUGAAUAAAAUUUCAUUGAAAGAAUAUAAUCAUGCAAAGUAAAAAUAAGACUAACUAAACAUUAGUUGCUGAAAAAUAUAAGAUAGGUGCACUACUUGAACUAUUGACUGUGAACCUGCUAAGACAUCAAAUUUUCUACCUUUCUUUCCAGAAAUUCUAAUAUGAUUCUGCACAACUCAACUAGAAUAACAUUAAAAUCUAGGCCAUUGAAUUUUUUACUUUUACAUGGGCUGCAUAUAUAUCCAGAUUAAAACCAUAUAAGUUGCAACACAAUAGCAUAACAACUAAUUCGUAUAUGGUCAUUCAGAAACCAUAUUAAUUUUUUUUCAUAAUGACUAUUAUUUUUUUCUACACAUAAUUAUAUUUUAAUAAAAUUUCUCACUAUAAAAAUGAACUUCAAAUUGACACUUUGUAUUAAAUUUAUUAAUAUGUUUAACAAUUUUCAAAAAUAAUUUGGAACUAAAAAAAUAAGUACAAUCAUAAAAAAAAAAAACAAUAGAUUAAUACUAAUAUAUUAUGAAUCAUAACUUUACUGUUUCUUCUAUAUAUACAAAUAUAUUUUUUGAAUUUAGGUAAAUAAAUUAUAAUUUGAGUAAGACAAAUUAAUAAUUUAAGUUCUUUAAUGAAUUUUUAAAUUUUUAAGAAUAAUCUUGAAUUCAUAAUUGCCCUCAUGGCAUAUUGCCCACCAGUACACAAAAUAAAACCGAUGGAAGUAGGUAGAAAAUUAUUUAGGAAGAACCACUCAGAUUAUGCAGUAUGGUAAUGUACAUCAAUAAGUUGGGUAAUCAGCUAUAAAGUUGUAAUUUCCAUAAUGUUAUAAUGAUCUUCUACAGAGUAUCUGAAAAUAAGUUGAAAUCUGAAUCCCUAUGGGAUGCACACCAAGCUUCUCGUAAACAUCAUGAGGUGAUGCUUACUGUCCUAGUUAUGUUAUGAAUAAAGCUAUUGACAAAUUGCAUUCAGAGGUUCUAUAGCAUGUACAAUCACACACGACACAAAAGAUUAUUGUAAUUUCAUUCCUUUAUGAUAGAUAAAUUCUAAAAUAAGAAUGCAGUGAAAUCAUGUAUGAAGAUAUCUACAGAUUGUCACACUCAAGAGUCGAUACAGUAGAAGAAAAACAUUUGUCUUUGUAUUUACAGAUUAACGUGUACAUCAAAAUGCAAUGAAUAUUGUCUAUCAAAAAAAACAAAAAAAAAAUACAAUGAACACAUGUAUUUGUGUAUCUAUUUAUACAUGCUAUUGAUUAUUUGCAUGUCAAAAUCAGGUUGUUUGAUUUUAAAAGAUUCUAUAUGGAUUCAAAAGAUGUAUGUGCUAGGGUCUUAUCUUUGCUACUGAAGCUAUACUUUUAAUAUGCUUUGUUUUUUUUUUUUUUUGAAAUUUUAUGCACGUUUCCUCUUAUAUAUUACUUUUAUGUUUAUUAUCUAUACAUAAUUAACAAUUAAUGAUGAUAUCAUAGAUCAUUAUUUUCCUGUGUUUCAUAUUGUAUCCUAAGUGGAAAUAUCAUUGAAAUCCUUCUAUACUUGUGUAAAAAAUAAACAGCUGUCAUGCAUAGAUUAUCGCAUAGUGUAUAAUUAUAAUUUUGUUUUUAAACAAAACAAACAAAUUAGGGUCUGCAACCCUACUCAGCAGCUGCUCAGUUGACAGCUCCAAUCUGGCUCUAUGCACCUAAAGAUUAUUUUGUACUUAAAAGGAACUAUUUAAAAAAAACACAAAAAGAAGAAAAUAUUUUUAAUCUGUCGUUGGAUGAAACAGGGUGAAUGAGCCCUAUCAGGGUAUAAGGUUUUUUUUUUUUUUUUGGUUUUUGUUUUUGUUUUUUGUUUUUAUUUAUUUAUUUAUUUUUUAUCAUAAACAAUAAUUCGUUGAUAAGGAUUUGAAAGUACAUGUGAAGGAUGAGAAUUCCUUCCUGAAAAUAAAAAUUUUGAUUAAACAUAAACAAAUGGAUGAUUUCCCCAAAAUGCAAAACGAGACCUCAAUAUAUUGCCAAAAGAAACCAUAGAAAGGAAAGACUAUUCUCUAUGGGCUGAAGCUUUGCUCUAAGCUUAACUAUUUUGACUUUUAUGAUUCACACACCAAAUUCUAAUUGAGCUAGAGUCCCCUUGAAAGCUGUAGUUGUUGGGCCUCAAAAAGAGGAAUAGAGAUAAAUUAGGUUCCAUAUAGAUUUUGUAGUUCUCCGCUUAUCCUAAAAAAUCUUUACAUUUCUUUUUCUUCCAAUUUGCCAAAAUUUUUUGCUCUAGAAUAAAUUGCUCCUCAAACCUCUAAAAGAUAUCGUCAUCAUGUCNNNNNNNNNNNNNNNNNNNNNNNNNNNNNNNNNNNNNNNNNNNNNNNNNNNNNNNNNNNNNNNNNNNNNNNNNNNNNNNNNNNNNNNNNNNNNNNNNNNNNNNNNNNNNNNNNNNNNNNNNNNNNNNNNNNNNNNNNNNNNNNNNNNNNNNNNNNNNNNNNNNNNNNNNNNNNNNAAUGAUGUCAGCAAACAUCUCAACAAUAGAUUUAUUAUCUUUCGUAGAAAUAACUCAUAAUUAAGCACAAGAAUAUUGAUUUUAGAGUCUUUAACUUGAUUUGUCUCUUCAUAAGUUAUUUCUAAAAAUCUCCAAAUAUCAUAAGUGGAUUCACAUUGGCAAACGUAGUUAUAUUUAUUUCUAUCAAUUGUACAAUGUAAACAUUAAUAGAUAUCUUUAGCAUUUAAAUGAGCUUUUCUUUUGUUAAACUCAUCCCACUUUUAGCUAGGUUUAGGUAUAACAACUUCAUUCUCAAUUUGGUUUAGAAUAUGGGGACCAUUUUGGAUGAAAAAGAUCAUAAUCAAUGGAUUUAAAAAUAAUGUCGUCCUAGUUUCCCAAUAGAAGUAAUUGAUUCCCAAAAAGAACAAAUAUAUAUUAAUCGAAAACCCUUCCAUAUAAGAUGAGUUGGAAGAAUUAGCUAUUUUCUUUUAGACAAUUAAGUAAAAAACAAAAGGUCUAGCUUUGAUACCAAUUGUGAAAAAAAGCUAUUUUGAUUUAGAUAAUCAUGCAAGAGUGGGACGAAUUAGGUAUUGAAACUAUUUUAAAAAAUAAUCAACUUAAGCAAGUUAUGUAAAGGAUAAGAAUGAAUAGAGAGUAAUAUUAAGAAAUUAAGGGAAUAAUAUUGCAAACUCUUUUAUAAUGGUUUGGGAAGCUGCCUAUAUCCACUCUCCUCAAGCUGCUAAUAGGGUGAAGGUUACACUUAGGUGGUGUUUGUUUUUUUACUUAAUUCUAAAUAGAACCUUAAUACUUAAUAGUAUUAAAUAUUAGGUUGUUUGUUUUUGUAGUAUUUUAUUUCUACUAAGUAUUAAAAAGUAAAAAAAAACCAUUGUAUUAUUUUUUCUAUUUAGAAAAAGCCACAUAUUCUGGCUUUUUCUGUUUAGUAAAAAAUUUAUAAUAAGUCAUGAAAAAGUAAAAAAACAAACAACCUAAAUUCUAAAACUAAAUGGUUUUCAGCAAAAAGCCAAAAAAACAAACACCACCUUAGAUUCCAAGGUUCCAAUAGACCUUUACAAACUCUUCAAGUAAAAUGCCUACUUGAAUACUUCUCUCACAAUAUUAAAUUUUGAAGCUGUAUCCGUAUAGAGGCCAAGGUGUUUUAUGUGUCAGGCUUUUGUUAAUAUACUGCACUGGAAGCUUAAGUGAAAGCUCUUGAGUCAUUUAAUGUUGGGCUCUAAGGUUUAUAUUUGAUAUAUCUCAUAGGAUAGUUCUCAUUUCAGUUACUAUUGGCCAGGUGAAAUUUCCAAUACACAGCUGCUAUUUUAUGGUUCCUAGGUGUAAACUAGUAACGCUUUCAACUUUCUUGUGACUUAUGGAAUGCUGAGUAGAUUGAUGCAAAUUUGAGUGUAUUCAAGAAACUAAAGAUUUUUGUACAUGGAAUAGUAUAAUCUGUUCAAAAAGGGAAAAAAAAAUACUGCAGUAAUUUUGAAUGUAUGAUAUGAAUGCAGGGAGAUUAUAAUAAUUUCUCCCUGUUCAAUUGUCUAAACUCGCCCUGCUCUGUGCUUAAUCUUUGAACUUUUGACAAGAUUUUGCAAAGAUUUUAGACAGCGUCUACAAAAUUCCACUUUCUCAUUGAAAAUAUGAGCCACAAUUUUAUAUGAAUUGGUUUACAUCCUUUCAAUUGUUAUUAUUUUUUUUUUUAUGUUUUGAUUUACCAUGAGUUAAUGAAGUGCUUAUACCACUACAGGCAAUUAAAAAUGUCAAAGCCAAUGCUGCUGGACUAACUCGGGCUAACAAUGCAAAACCUGAGGCCCCUAAACCUGAGUCCUCAACUGUAUUGUCUAAUGCUACAUCUGAACCCUCUAUGAAUUUGCAGAAGGCUCAGCUAUCAUCUGGGUUUCCUGCAGAUUUUUUUGAUAAUCAUGUGACAAAGAAGCAAAAAUCUGGUAAGAAAAAAACUGACAUCCAACUUAAGCUUUUCUUCAUCAGUUCAAUUCUAGGCUAUGGCAAUAACUACCUUAGGCUUGUACUUGUUCUGCAGCAUUUUCUAUUGUUAAAAACUAAAGUAAUUACUUUAGGUUUACAAAUGUAAGGAAGUACCCAAUUUUGAAUUCAGAGUUUGACUGAAAUUGAGAAGCAACCUAUUACCGAUUCUGAGCAUAUAUUCUAGCUGAUGCCCAAUAAGCCGGAAGAGUUGCUAAGUCCUUGUUUCUAGCUGUCCACAUACUUCAUGCAAAUCCCCUAUCAUAUUCUUCUUUCUUAGUUUCUUGGUGCAUCUCUAUGUCUGGAGAUUCAUUGCAGAGAAAUUCCUUGAUUACUCUUCUUUUGUUUCUAGACACCAAUCCUCUGCGUUCUGACUGAUGAUCUUCAUUCAAAUAUUUUGACAGUCAAUGAGCACCCUUACAACUCCUGUUAGGCCUCAAUCCUGGUGAUCCUCCGGAUUCAAUUUAGCAGGUUUGUACGUCCUGCUUAAAGUACACCUUACACUUGAACCUUCUGUGGGAGAGACAAUCCUCACUGUGCUUGACAAGCUUGACAUUCAUAGGGGCCAAUACAGAUUCAAAAUCUUCUCCUUGCAAAAACAAGGACUUGCUAGAUUUCAGCCAAAAUGACUCAAGUUGGGCCCUGAAGCCCUUUGAAACACCCUUUCAGGUGGUUAAGAAAGCAAAAGGUGUUUGGUCUGUUAAGCUGACAAGUUUUCUAGAAAAACCAAGUAAUAGAACUUUCUAGGAUUUUUGAUUUGCUUCUUCAACACUGUCUUUGACUGUUGAUAAAUUCCUGCAGUCAUGACUGUAAUCGCAAGUUGUUAUUAGUCUGGCAAUUUGUUCUAUAUUCCCUAGUUGAAAUUCAAUUGCCCAUUUUUGGGAUUUGACUUGAUCCUGGUAACCUGUGGUUUUAGAGGAAUAAUUUAUAUUUCAUAAUGUAUCUCUAGGAAAUGAUGAUGUCAAGUUCCUAGAUCCAGAUUCAUACAACAAGACUGGGGGUUCUGCUUCUGCUCAAACUCAGUCAAUGGAGCCUCUUGAGUCGAAAAACAAUUUAAACGGAUUGUCCAGUUCUCACUCUGAAAAGAUGGGAAAAAGUGGAAUUCGUCAUGCCAGGGACCUUACCCAGACAUCAGGAAAGAUUGUUGGUUCAGAAACCAAGGAAGUAAAGGGUGCUCUUCCUGAAGGCUUCUUUGACAACAAGGAUGCUGACCUUCGUGCACGUGGUAUUGUGCCUGUUAAGCCGGAUGUCAAG
rnacentral:lncRNA from 1 species